AUGGAGAUUACACCCCCAGACGGUGAGCCUUUUAUGGCAGAUAUUUGGAGAGGCGAGAGUGGACUUAUUCGCGUCGAGCACGACUACGCAUUGCCCGCUGUGGUUCUCCCUAUGCCCUCCAUCGCCCCUAGGCUUGGAUGCGUUAGCUCACGAUUGGCCCAGGACCAGCUUGUAUGCUUUUCCUCCAAUUCGUCUAAUUCCGGCAGUGUUGUCCAGGAUACAGCUGGACAGAGUGGAGCAGCUGCUGCUGGUGGCUCCGUGGUGGCCCACACAGCCGUGGUUUGCGGAACUGGUCAGUCUAAUAGUGGGCUCUCCAUGGGAGAUUCCCCUCAGACAGGACUUACUAUCGCAAGCACGAGGGAUGAUUUGGGCACCCAAGGCCAGAUCUCUAGAACUGUGGGCGUGGCCUCUGAGCGGAGUGAGUUAAUAUGUCCCGGUCUUUCUGUUGAAACCUCCGAGACUAUAAUGAAUUCUAGAGCAGCAUCUACGAGACGCUUAUAUGCUUUCAAAUGGAAGCUGUUUACGGCCUGGUGUGGAUUUCGUAAUAUGGAUCCGGUUUACUGCCCAGUGGCUUCAGUACUGGAGUUCCUUCAAGACCGUUUCUCUGAUGGAGUAACGCCAGCAACUCUGAAAGUUUACGUGGCAGCCAUUUCAGCUAACCACGUAUAUAUAGAUGGUGCUUCAGUGGGCCGUCAUCCGCUGGUCUCUCGCUUUUUACAGGGUGCGCGACGGCUGAGGCCUUUCCGCCCUGUGCGAGUUCCUUCAUGGGAUUUAUCCAUUGUGUUGCAAGGUCUAUCAGGACAUCCGUUUGAGCCCUUGGAAACUAUACCGGAUAAAAUCCUGACCUUAAAGACAGUUCUUCUUAUGGCUUUAUCCUCCCUCAAGAGAGUUGGGGAUUUACAGGCUCUUUCUGUUUCGCCUUCGUGCAUGGACUUUGCACCGGGCUCUGUGAAGGUAUUGCUGCGACCGAGGCCUAAUUAUGUCCCUAAGGUCGCUUCGAACCCCUUUCAUUUUCAGCAAGUGGUCUUGGAGGCUUUACCCCUGCUGAGAUGGGGUCAGGAGAUCUGA
rnacentral:lncRNA from 1 species